GGAUCUGUGCCUGAAGUAAAGGAUCACUUUGAUAGAGUGAAUAAUGUGGGUUAAAUCCCCUCCAGCUCCU
rnacentral:tRNA from 1 species